ACCCUAUCACCUCAUUGCACUGCUGGAAAUCAAGAAAUUUUUGACCACUUCAAAGUGAUCUUAAAUCAAGUCAGAAGCCCUUGUUCUGACCACUUUGGG